AUUAUUAAAAUAUAAGAAAAUUUUUUAGAUUAGUAUUAAAUAUAUUUAUGAAAUUAAAAUAAUUUGGCGGUAUUUUAGUCUAUUCAGAGGAAUUUGUUUUAUAAUUGAUAAUCCUCGUUAUAUUUUACUUAUUUUAUUAAAUUUGUAUAUCGUUGUCAUUAGAAUAUUUUAUAAGAAAAAUAAUUUUCUUAAAUUAUUUUAAAAUUUUAUGUCAAAUCAAGGUGCAGUUUAUAUUUAAGAAAAAAUGAAUUACAAUAAUAUAUAAUUAUAAUGGAUUAAAAAUUGAAAGAAUUUUAUGAAGGUGGAUUUGAUAGUAAAUUUAAUAAGAAUGUUAAAUUGAUUAUAGCUCUAAAAUAUGUAC
rnacentral:rRNA from 1 species